rnacentral:SRP_RNA from 1 species
GCUAGGGGUGGCAUACCUGUAGUCCCAGCUUCUCAGGAGGCUGAGGUGGGAAGAUCACUUGAGCCCAGGAGUUCUGGGCUGUAGUGUGCUGUGCCGAUCAGGUGUCCGCACUAAGUUUGGCAUCAAUAUGGUGACCACCUGGGAGCAGGGGACCACCAGGUUGCCUAAGGAGGAGUGAACUGGCCCAGGUCAAAAGCGGAGCAGGUCAAAACUCCCAUGUUGAUCAGUAGUGGGAUCGUGCCUGUGAAUAGCUACUGCACUCCAGCCUGGGCAACAUAGCUAGACCCUAUUUCU